rnacentral:tRNA from 1 species
UCCCUGGUGGUCUAGUGGUUAAGACUCUGUACUUGCAAUGCACAAGGACCAGGUUUGAUCCCUGGCUGGGCUU